CAAAGUCUACAGUGUGGCUUCCCCGGUGCCACAUGAGAAGCCGUGGAAGGGUUCAGAUCUGCAUCCAGUGUUGGGCCCCCGCAGCUUGGGCCUGGGCUGGCUCAGCCCCUCCCGAUGGUUACCCGGGAGGCUCAGGACUGACCUCCUGACCUCCACAUCCACUUCCGCUUCCGGUGACAUCCGCUUUCCAGACUGCCUGCCUUUACCUUUCUUCAUUCAUAAGGCUUCCAUGUUCCUUCUCACCAGCUGGACCUUUCCCAACCACAUGUCCUCCCUGUAGAGACCAAGUGUGGACACCUGGCACCUGCCGGAUCUGCUGUCAUCUGGUUUCUCCGGGCGAGGAGGCUUUGUGGGCCCGAUGUGAACCGGGCUGUGGUUCUGAGGAGCUGCGAGCCUUCAGAGCUGGUGUGGACCCCUCUGUGACACAUCAGAGGUGGAGGGGCACGACGGGCUGGCAUUCCGGAGGAACAAAGGCUUCACGCCGAGCCGGAGGAUGCAUGUGCUGCUCAGCCCACGAAGAUGGAAGCAACAGAACAAAAGGGAUCAGGAGGCAGCACCAGUCUAAGGCAGAAGGCCUGGCUACUCACUGCAGUGUCACCACUUGAGUCUUUGUUGGAAGGGUGAAGAAACUGGAGACCCACAGCCAAAGCCCAAGAAGCAGCAAAGAAACUAAUCAAGAGGAAUUGUGGGCAAGAACACCCCGGAAUAAGAGCCUGUGUGGGGUUGCGCUGUCGUCACCGUUCCCUCAUCUACACAGGACCCAGGAGACCACCUCUGAUGGUGAGAACUCCACGGAAUCUUCUGCAGCUUGGAGGAACCAGCUGCUAUGUAACUUGAUAAGGGCACGUUUGGAAGCUGCAGGUCCUGUAAACUAAAGCUACUUCACAGUGGAGAGGCACGGACUACACAGAAUAAAAUUAUAACUGGCCAGAAUUGCAUUGU